GCGCGUAGGCGGUUUUUUAAGUCUGAUGUGAAAGCCCACGGCUCAACCGUGGAGGGUCAUUGGAAACUGGAAAACUUGAGUGCAGAAGAGGAAAGUGGAAUUCCAUGUGUAGCGGUGAAAUGCGCAGAGAUAUGGAGGAACACCAGUGGCGAAGGCGACUUUCUGGUCUGUAACUGACGCUGAUGUGCGAAAGCGUGGGGAUCAAACAGGAUUAGAUACCCACGUAGUCCAACCA
rnacentral:rRNA from 1 species